UGUGUUAAACAGUAACGCGGACGAGAAAAACAUUUGUUCUUCAACAUAACAUAAAUCAACUUAGGAUAUCAUCUGUGAUCGCGAGUGUUUAAAUAUCGUCAAUUCGUUUUUUAAUAAAAUUAAACGUUGUUAAGUUGCGGUGAAUCUUUUUGCUGUCAGGAUAACCAUAUAUCAAUAUGGGGAGCGUCGAGGAAAUUUAUGAAGGAGAAGUGCAUCGCACAAUUACGCGAAGAACAAGCUACAGAAUAAAAGAGACAACAACGAAAAAAACCACCACAAUGACUACUGUACCAGCCAAGCUUUAUGGAAAGAAUCUCAGUGAAUAUGAAGAGCUCGAUGUUGAACAAUUAUUGUCGCAGUUAUCACCAGAAGAGAUCAAUAUUCUAUCAAAAGAAGUAGAUCCCGAUGAUAAUUUAUUGCCACCAUCAGAACGUUGCAGCUAUGAAUGCAAUAAAGAAGCUACAGGUCCAUUGAAUAGGAAAAAAUUAAUAGAGCAUAUUAACAAGCAAGCUCUUGAAACGCCUGAUCUUCCUGAAAUGAAACCGUAUGUUCCAGGAACUGUUAGAGGAAAAAAAUGGGUUCCACCAGAAACAACAAAUGGCAAUGUUGAUAAUAAUGACAAAAUUGCUAUUGAUCUUGAUGACGAAUAUGGAGAUGCUUUAAACAAUGCUUCACAGGAAGAAAUAAUUGACUUGGCUGCUAUUCUUGGAUUUCAUUCAAUGAUGAACCAAGAUCAAUAUCAUGCUUCAUUAUUAAAUAAAGGUCAGCCUGUUGGAUUAGGAUGGGAUGGUAUAACUAAAGCAACACAACCAAAAGUUUAUCCACCCGAACCUCCAAACCAAACCGAUCCUGAUGAUAGCAUCAAACGUGUACAUGACGAUGACCCUAAAUUAAUUGAUCUCAAUUGGAAUAAUAUUAAAAAUAUAUCUGAUGAAAAAUUUGAGCAAUUGUUCAGUGCCCUAGUAGAAAAUACUCAUUUGGAAACUUUAAGUCUAGUUAAUGUUGGCCUAACUGAUCGAUUAGCUGGAAAAUUGGCAGAAGCUUUAGAAAAGAAUUGUACUCUACGUGUCUGCAAUGUAGAGACAAAUUUUAUAAGUCCUAUAGGAAUUGUUCGUUUAAUUAAAUGUUUAUUAAAACAAAGAUCCUUAGAAGAAUUUCGGGGAACUAAUCAAAGGUCCCAAGUAUUAGGAAAUAAGAUUGAAAUGGAAAUUACUAAACUGAUUGAGCAAAAUCCUACUAUUCUUCGACUUGGCUUACACUUAGAAUACAAUGAUGCUCGCCACCGAAUUGCAUCACAUUUACAGCGCAAUAUUGAUAGGAUACGCCAGAGCCGUGUGGGCGCAAAUUCCAUAUAAUUUCAUAUUUUGGCUACGUACAAUAUUUAGGUAUAUUUACAUUAAAAAUAUGCCGCUUACGCAGAACUGGUCACUUUGCGCGAACAUACACUGGCGGUUGGGUUGUACACAAAAAGGCUGUAUAAAUACUUGAAUUUUGCUUAGACUUUGGUCCUAGACUAUAUAUUUUAAGUUAUUAUAGUUUUAAAAUACAAUAUCUCUCUGAUUUAUUGUUCUUUCAUUUGUACAUGUAUAUAUAUUUAUAAAUAUUUACGUUAUGAUUUUUUCUGACUUAAACUCAUUUAAGAAAUUUAUUAUUAUAGUGUGUUUGGCGUGACAAUUCUAAUUAAUUAUAUUCAUUCAUAAAUAUAA